rnacentral:rRNA from 1 species
UGGGGAAUAUUGCGCAAUGGGCGAAAGCCUGACGCAGCGACGCCGCGUGCGGGAUGAAGGCCUUCGGGUUGUAAACCGCUUUCAGCAGGGACGAAGCGAAAGUGACGGUACCUGCAGAAGAAGCGCCGGCUAACUACGUGCCAGCAGCCGCGGUAAUACGUAGGCAGCAAGCGUUGUUCGGAAUUACUGGGCGUAAAGAGUGUGUAGGCGGUGUUCUAAGUCUGUUGUGAAAUCUCCCGGCUUAACUGGGAGGGUGCGCCGAAAACUGGAGGGCUUGAGUAUGGGAGAGGAAAGCGGAAUUCCUGGUGUAGCGGUGAAAUGCGUAGAUAUCAGGAGGAACACCUGCGGUGUAGACGGCUUUCUGGACCAUCACUGACGCUGAGACACGAAAGCGUGGGUAGCAAACAGGAUUAGAUACCCUGGUAGUCCACGCCCUAAACGAUGCAUACUUGGUGUGAGCCGUUCAUUCGGUUCGUGCCGGAGCUAACGCGUUAAGUAUGCCGCCUGGGGAGUACGGUCGCAAGGCUG